rnacentral:snRNA from 1 species
UCGGCUUCGGGCCAGCACAUAUACUAAAUGGCAACGAUACAGACUAGAUAGCAUGGCCCCUGUGCAAGGAGUGACAUGGCAUACAUUCGUGAAGCGUUCCACUGCGUU